UACGUAGGGUGCGAGCGUUGUCCGGAAUUACUGGGCGUAAAGAGCUCGUAGGUGGUUUGUCGCGUUGUCCGUGAAAACUCACAACUCAAUUGUGGGCGUGCGGGCGAUACGGGCAGACUGGAGUACUGCAGGGGAGACUGGAAUUCCUGGUGUAGCGGUGGAAUGCGCAGAUAUCAGGAAGAACACCAAUGGCGAAAGCAGCUCUCUGGGACGGUACUGACGCUGAGACGCGAAAGCGUGGGGAGCGAACAGG
rnacentral:rRNA from 1 species